AGAGUUUGAUCCUGGCUCAGAUUGAACGCUGGCGGCAUGCUUUACACAUGCAAGUCGAACGGCAGCACGGGGGCAACCCUGGUGGCGAGUGGCGAACGGGUGAGUAAUGCAUCGGAACGUAUCCUUGAGUGGGGGAUAACGCAGCGAAAGUUGUGCUAAUACCGCAUAAGCUCUGAGGAGGAAAGCGGGGGACCGAAAGGCCUCGCGCUGAAGGAGCGGCCGAUGUCCGAUUAGCUAGUUGGUAGGGUAACGGCCUACCAAGGCAAAGACGGGUAGCUGGUCUGAGAGGACGAUCAGCCACACUGGCACUGAGACACGGGCCAGACUCCUACGGGAGGCGAC
rnacentral:rRNA from 1 species